UUUCUGGUAGCUUCGGGUCGCCUAGCGGCUCCGGAGGUGCCAGCACUUUUCUCCACGGGACUCACAGGCAGAAUCCAUUGCUGAAGACACCACAGCAGCCUCUGGCUACCAGUGGAUCACAGUAGCAGCCCAUCAAAGCGGAAUCUGAACUUGAAUUCGGUGCAGCUGGUUGUAGAGCUGGUCUUGAGCAUCAGGAUCUGAGACCCCCAGUCGAUCGAGGUCCAUCAACUGGACCCUGGAGGCCGGUUUUCUCACGGGAGGGAGGACAGAGGUUGCAGAAGCUGGAAAUACUCCAGUUUCCCAGCUGAUGUAAGAAUCUGAUAAAUCACGGA
rnacentral:lncRNA from 1 species